rnacentral:rRNA from 1 species
CUACGGGUGGCUCCAGGCGAGAAAACUUUGCAAUGUGCGAAAGCACGACAAGGUUAAUCCGAGUGGUUUGUGCUAAACGAACCUUUUGACAGUCCUAGAAACACUGUUGAAUAAGGGGUGGGCAAGUUCUGGUGUCAGCCGCCGCGGUAAAACCAGCACCUCAAGUGGUCAGGAUGAUUAUUGGGCCUAAAGCGUCCGUAGCCGGCUCUGUAAGUUUUCGGUUAAAUCUGUACGCUCAACGUACAGGCUGCCGGGAAUACUGCAGAGCUAGGGAGCGGGAGAGGUAGACGGUACUCGGUAGGAAGGGGUAAAAUCCUUUGAUCUAUUGAUGACCACCUGUGGCGAAGGCGGUCUACCAGAACACGUCCGACGGUGAGGGAUGAAAGCUGGGGGAGCAAACCGGAUUAGAUACCCGUGUAGUC